rnacentral:rRNA from 1 species
UACGUAGGUGGCGAGCGUUGUCCGGAUUUACUGGGCGUAAAGAGCGCGCAGGCGGUCGUACAAGUCGCGUGUGAAAGCCCCCGGCUCAACUGGGGAGGGUCACGCGAUACUGUUCGACUCGAAGGCAGGAGAGGGUAGUGGAAUUCCCGGUGUAGUGGUGAAAUGCGUAGAUAUCGGGAGGAACACCAGUGGCGAAGGCGACUACCUGGACCGGUAUUGACGCUGAGGCGCGAAAGCCAGGGGAGCAAACGGG